AAAGCGUGCGCAGGCGGUAAUGUAAGACAGAUGUGAAAUCCCCGGGCCCAACCUGGGAACUGCAUUUGUGACUGCAUUGCUGGAGUGCGGCAGAGGGGGAUGGAAUUCCGCGUGUAGCAGUGAAAUGCGUAGAUAUGCGGAGGAACACCGAUGGCGAAGGCAAUCCCCUGGGCCUGCACUGACGCUCAUGCACGAAAGCGUGGGGAGCAAACAGGAUUAGAUACCCGGGU
rnacentral:rRNA from 1 species